AGUGAUGUAACCAGUUGGCUCUCAGACCGCAUUACAUCCCUUUUUAUCAAGUCUCAUCAGGAGGCCCUGUUUGUUAUAGGUCUCUGAGAGGACCUCCCUCCAGAUGUACACAAAGCCCAAGCCAGUGAAGCUGUCCAGAACUCCCAGGGCUGGGAGGACAUCUGUCACUUCACAUUUCACCGAGAAAGGGAACCCAGCGCUGGAGAGUGCAGGAGAAGAGAGACAUCUGGCUCCCAGGGUGCCUUAAGAAUUUCCUUGAGCUCCAAUUAGAGUCAGCGUGGUAGAGUGUAGUCUGUGCCUGGCUAUUCCCACAUGUGAGCCCUAACUGCUAGGUAGUGCUCAGAAGCCAACAGAGGAACAGAGAGCUGCACUUACUCCAGGCCCCGGGCUGCCGCUGUCGGGGCUGUACAGCCUCUGCCUUUGCUGCUGAGUGAGAAGCUCGCUCUGUCGCCUGAGGAGAGGUUCAGUCCGGGUGCUGGACCGUUAGAUCCUGCUCAUCAUGCCGAACGGAAUUAAGCCAGUCGACACGCUGGACUCACUGUCUUCUGUGGGCUCAGCGUACUGCAGCGGCAGACAGCCAGGCACCUGCAAGUACUGGAUCCUCGACCUAGGUACACAGCUAUUUUAGAUGUUCAUUCUGCACCUCUCUCUCUCUGCCUGCUUCCCUCCAGCUGGCUGCUUAAAUGGUUGAUGUAUGCUGUGAAGCAGAAACAAAGCAGAAUUCGUAUCAUGUUCUGAUAGGAAUUGUGUUCCGUGCCUACUGCCUUGCAAAGGGGCUGGGUGGGGAUGGUUCUGGGAAACCCUAGAAAUGUGACCCGAGACCAAGAGCAGUGCAGUGCUCAGACAUUAGAUGCAAUGGGGUGUUCCAAAGGUUUUCGUACUGCAGCUGAUAGCCUUUUAUUUUUCUCUGAAAUGGCAUAUAAACAACCUACAAGGCUACGAUUUGCCUUCCUCU
rnacentral:lncRNA from 1 species